GCUGGGGGGAUUAGUGGCGAACGGGUGAGUAACACGUGAGUAACCUGCCCUUGACUCUGGGAUAAGCCUGGGAAACCGGGUCUAAUACUGGAUACGACCUUCUGGCGCAUGCCAUGUUGGUGGAAAGCUUUUGUGGUUUUGGAUGGACUCGCGGCCUAUCAGCUUGUUGGUGGGGUAAUGGCCUACCAAGGCGACGACGGGUAGCCGGCCUGAGAGGGUGACCGGCCACACUGGGACUGAGACACGGCCCAGACUCCUACGGGAGGCAGCAGUGGGGAAUAUUGCACAAUGGGCGCAAGCCUGAUGCAGCGACGCCGCGUGAGGGAUGAAGGCCUUCGGGUUGUAAACCUCUUUCAGUAGGGAAGAAGCCGCUCCUUUUUGGGGGUGGUGACGGUACCUGCAGAAGAAGCGCCGGCUAACUACUUGCCAGCAGCCGCGGUAAUACGUAGGGCGCAAGCGUUAUCCGGAAUUAUUGGGCGUAAAGAGCUCGCAGGCGGUUUGUCGCGUCUGCCGUGAAAGACCCGGGCUUAACUCCGGAUCUGCGGUGGGUACGGGCAAACUAGAAUGCAAUAAAGGGAGACUGGGAAUUCCUGGUGUACC
rnacentral:rRNA from 1 species